UACGUAGGGGGCUAGCGUUGUCCGGAAUCAUUGGGCGUAAAGCGCGCGUAGGCGGCCCGGUAAGUCCGCUGUGAAAGUCAAAGGAUCAACCUUUGAAUGCCGAUGGAUACUGCCGGGCUAGAGUCCGGAAGAGGCGAGUGGAAUUCCUGGUGUAGCGGUGGAAUGCGCAGAUAUCAGGAGGAACACCUAUAGCGAGGGCAGCUCGCUGGGACGGUACUGACGCUGAGGCGCGAAAGCGUGGGGAGCAAACAGG
rnacentral:misc_RNA from 1 species